rnacentral:rRNA from 1 species
GCACAGUAAUCCUUUAACUAACCCAUGCGAGUUCUUGUAGUAUACAAGGCAGACGGCUCAGUAACGCGUAGUCCCCUUUAACCUAUGGACGGGAAUAACCUCGGGAAACUGAGUAUCCAUGCCCGAUAGAACAUUAUGCCUGGAAUGGUUUAUGUUCCAAAUGAUUUAUCGCCGUAGGAUGGGACUGCGGCCUAUCAGUUUGUUGGUGAGGUAAUGGCCCACCAAGACUAUUACAGGUACGGGCUCUGAGAGGAGUGGCCCGGAGAUGGGUACUGAGACACGGACCCAGGCCCUAUGGGGCGCAGCAGGCGAGAAAACUUUGCAAUGUGCGAAAGCACGACAAGGUUAAUCCGAGUGGUUUCUGCUAAAGGAACCUUUUGUCGGUCCUAGAAACACCGAUGAAUAAGGGGUGGGAAAGUUCUGGUGUCAGCCGCCGCGGUAAAACCAGCACCUCAAGUGGUCAGGAUGAUUAUUGGGCCUAAAGCAUCCGUAGCCGGCUUUGUUAGUUUUCGGUUAAAUCUGUACGCUUAACGUACAGGCUGCCGGGAAUACUGCAAAGAUAGGGAGUGGGAGAAGUAGACGGUACUCGGUAGGAAGGGGUAAAUUCCUUUGAUCUUAUUUGAUGACCACCCGUUGGUAAAAGGGGUCUUCCAUAAACACGUCCGAUCGGUGAGGGAAGAAAAAUGGGGGGAACAAAACCGGAUUAAAAUACCUCGGUAAUCCCCAGCUUUUAAACUAUGACAAAUCAAUGGAUGCAUUGGAUCUGGAGCCAAAGUAGUUGUUUCCGGGGAAGCCUUUUUAAUUUUGCCGCCUUGGGAAAU